CCUAGGAGGCAGCAGUGGGGAAUAUUGGACAAUGGGCGAAAGCCUGAUCCAGCCAUGCCGCGUGUGUGAAGAAGGCCUUCGGGUUGUAAAGCACUUUCAGUGGGGAAGAAAGCCUUGGGGCUAAUACCCUCGAGGAAGGACAUCACCCACAGAAGAAGCACCGGCUAACUCCGUGCCAGCAGCCGCGGUAAUACGGAGGGUGCGAGCGUUAAUCGGAAUUACUGGGCGUAAAGCGCGCGUAGGCGGUCUGAUAAGCCGGUUGUGAAAGCCCCGGGCUCAACCUGGGAACGGCAUCCGGAACUGUCAGGCUAGAGUGCAGGAGAGGAAGGUAGAAUUCCCGGUGUAGCGGUGAAAUGCGUAGAGAUCGGGAGGAAUACCAGUGGCGAAGGCGGCCUUCUGGGCUGACACUGACGCUGAGGUGCGAAAGCGUGGGUAGCAAACAGGAUUAGAUACCCGAGUAGUC
rnacentral:rRNA from 1 species